UGUGAGCAGCCAGAUGGAGACCCACGA
rnacentral:piRNA from 1 species